GUGACGCCAGCGGGAGGUAGGGGACGGUCGUGGAGCUGGGCUGGAUAAUGAGAGGAGGGAGGAAAAUGGGCCAGCGAGGUGGAGAUGGGCUCCUGUUGGCGCCAGAUAGAGAGGAGGAAAACCCUGGGGUUUUCCUAUUUUGAAACAAAGCCAACAAACAAUUAACUCCUAGGAAAAAUUAUGGCUCCAAAAAUAAAAAUAAAA
rnacentral:lncRNA from 1 species